GACGAACGCUGGCGGCGUGCUUAACACAUGCAAGUCGAACGGUAAGGCCCUUCGGGGUACACGAGUGGCGAACGGGUGAGUAACACGUGGGUGAUCUGCCCUGCACUUCGGGAUCAGCCUGGGAAACUGGGUCUAAUACCGGAUAGGACCACUGCCUGCAUGGGUGGUGGUGGAAAGCUUGUGCGGUGUGGGAUGGGCCCGCGGCCUAUCAGCUUGUUGGUGGGGUGAUGGCCUACCAAGGCGACGACGGGUAGCCGGCGUGAGAGGGUGACCGGGCACACUGGGACUGAGGUACGGCCCAGACUCCUACGGGAGGCAGCAGUGGGGAAUAUUGCACAAUGGGCGCAAGCCUGAUGCAGCGACGCCGCGUGAGGGAUGACGGCCUUCGGGUUGUAAACCUCUUUCAGCACCGACGAAGCGCAAGUGACGGUAGGUGCAGAAGAAGGACCGGCCAACUACGUGCCAGCAGCCGCCGUAA
rnacentral:rRNA from 1 species